rnacentral:rRNA from 1 species
AAAUGAAUUGACGGGGGCCCGCACAAGCGGAGGAACAUGUGGUUUAAUUCGAUGAUACGCGAGGAACCUUACCCGGGUUUGAAAUGCAAUCGACUGAUUAUGAAAAUAGUUAUCCAGCAAUGGCGAUUGUGUAGGUGCUGCAUGGUUGUCGUCAGCUCGUGCCGUGAGGUGUCGGCUUAAGUGCCAUAACGAGCGCAACCCUUGCCGUUAGUUGCUAACAGUUAAAGCUGAGGACUCUAGCGGGACUGCCAUCGUAAGGUGAAGGAAGGUGGGGAUGACGUCAAAUCAGCACGGCCCUUAUGUCCGGGGCGACACACGUGUUACAAUGAGGGGUACAGCGGGCAGCUACCGGGCGACCGGAUGCUAAUCUCUUAAAACCCUUCUCAGUUCGGAUCGGAGUCUGCAACUCGACUCUGUGAAGCAGGAUUCGCUAGUAAUCGCGCAUCAGCCACGGCGCGGUGAAUACGUUCCCGGGCCUUGCACACACCGCCCGU